UACGUAGGCAGCGAGCGUUGUUCGGAGUUACUGGGCGUAAAGAGUGCGUAGGCGGUUUUCUAAGUUUGGUGUGAAAUCUCCCGGCUUAACUGGGAGGGUGCGCCGAAGACUGCGGUGCUUGAGGAUCGGAGAGGAAAGUGGAAUUUCUGGUGUAGCGGUGAAAUGCGUAGAUAUCAGAAGGAACACCUGUGGUGUAGACGGCUUUCUGGACGAUUCCUGACGCUGAGACACGAAAGCGUGGGUAGCAAACAGG
rnacentral:rRNA from 1 species